GACGAACGCUGGCGGCGCGCUUAACACAUGCAAGUCGAACGGAAAGGCCUGCUUUCCCUUGUGGAUUGCGGGUACUCGAGUGGCGAACGGGUGAGUAACACGUGAGUGAUCUGCCCCCAACUUGGGUAUAAGCCUGGGAAACUGGGUCUAAUUCCCGAUAGGACUGCAGGGUGGUGCCUGUGGUGGAAAACGAUUUUCUAGUGGUUGGGGAUGAGCUCGCGGCCUAUCAGCUUGUUGGUGGGGUAAUGGCCUACCAAGGCGGCGACGGGUAGCCGGCCUGAGAGGGUGGACGGACACAUUGGGACUGAGAUACGGCCCAGACUCCUACGGGAGGCAGCAGUGGGGAAUAGUGCACAAUGGGCGGAAGCCUGAUGCAGCGACGCCGCGUGGGGGAUGACGGCCUUCGGGUUGUAAACUCCUUUCGACCGCGAGGAAGCCACCUGGUUGGAAGGGUGGUGACGGUAGUGGUAGAAGAAGCACCGGCUAACUACGUG
rnacentral:rRNA from 1 species